AAUCACUGAAAUACAAUGCAGGUGAUACUCAGGAUAACCUCUUGGCACCUGUAGUACACACUACCCUAAAAGCAACAAUAAACCUGAAAAAGAAUAUCUGGCAAAGUGUAAGAAGUAGUGACAUCUGCUGCCCUAUGGAAUAGUUCCAUGUGGAAAGGACAUGAAACCUCCUGCCAAGAGUCAUGUGAUCGAACUUGGAAUUGACCAUCCAAUCAAAUCAUCAGAAAAUGUCUCCCUGGUCAACACCUUGAGCAUGACUUCAAGAGACCUUAGGUGAAUAUCGCCCAUGGUCCCUUAAUAUCUCACUUCUUUGCCACAUUGUUGUCUCAAAUGCACUGCCUCUGAGAGUGGAAUAAAGUGAUUUCUCCUGGAUUUGCUAAAAAGUGAGAUGAGACAGCUGGACUGUGAUUCCAGAAGUCAGUGGUGGAAACGGAGGAAGAGAUGGAACCGAUACACUGGCUGCAGAGAACAGGUCUAACUAAGAAACAUCUUAAAGACACUAGCAAAAAUUAAUCCCCAUACAAUGAUGAAUUCCAAGCACACUGGAGUCAUUAUAGAGAAAAAGUACAGCACCUAGGAAACUGUCUCUCAGCGACUA